GACGAACGCUGGCGGCGUGCCUAAUACAUGCAAGUCGAGCGCAGGAAACUGACGGAACUCUUCGGAGGGAAGGCAGUGGAAUGAGCGGCGGACGGGUGAGUAACACGUAAGGAACCUGCCUCAAGGAUUGGGAUAACUCCGAGAAAUCGGAGCUAAUACCGGAUAGUUCAACGGACCGCAUGGUCCGCUGAUGAAAGGCGCUCCGGCGUCACCUUGAGAUGGCCUUGCGGUGCAUUAGCUAGUUGGUGGGGUAACGGCCCACCAAGGCGACGAUGCAUAGCCGACCUGAGAGGGUGAUCGGCCACACUGGGACUGAGACACGGCCCAGACUCCUACGGGAGGCAGCAGUAGGGAAUCUUCCACAAUGGACGAAAGUCUGAUGGAGCAACGCCGCGUGAGUGAUGAAGGUUUUCGGAUCGUAAAACUCUGUUGUAAGGGAAGAACACGUACGAGAGGGAAUGCUCGUACCUUGACGGUACCAUACGAGAAAGCCACGGCUAACUACGUGCCAGCCGCCGCCGUAAUAC
rnacentral:rRNA from 1 species